rnacentral:lncRNA from 1 species
CAGAAGAACUCACUCUCAUAAGUAGAGCCAAACAAAGAUGGCGCUUUAUAUCCCUUCUAAGGUCCUUUGGAAGAUUAUGAACCAAAUUCUCUUCAUCAACACCUCUAGUUUCCUGCCAUUUGUACUGUUCAUAUCUCCGGAUCCUCUCCCUCAGGCUUUCAGGAAGUAAACGAUGAGACAUCCUUUGUUCUGCAUCUCGUCUUUUCACUCUCAUUUCCUCUAAUCUUAGAGUUGUGGACUGCAAAAAAGUCUGUCGCACCACGAGCAUAUAUAGUUUGUUAGAACCUAGGAUUGCUAAUGUGACCUUUGGGACUUUUCAAACUCUUGAUUGCAGAAUUUUUUGUGGUUUCAAAAUUUAAACCAUCUUAAGAUAAAAUAUUAUAAUGGUUGGCUUUCUUUAAGCUUCCAAUCAAUUCCAUAUACUUUAUUUGCACAAACUAUUAAUACAAAAAGAAAAAUGUAACCGCAAUAGCCCUUAGGUGUUAAAAUCUGACAACCCUAAUGAUCAUUUUGACUUGUCAAAAUCCGUAAUACACCAUUCUCAAAGGAAAAUUCAGUUAAAAAUUUUCUAGAAAUAUUCAAUUAAAACUUUAACAUUUUCAUUUUAUUUGUAUAUGUAAUAGUAAAGUGAUGCUAAAUAAUUUCUUAGUACAACGCUUUGUUAAGCUGCACACAAGGAUAUUGUUCCCUAAAAACAACUUGAAUGAACAAAUAGAUACAAUGAUGUAAUUCACUCACCUGCAUAUUUCCAAUAAGAAAUGAAAAAAGCACUAGGCCAGAGAUGGAGAUGGAGAUGAAAACUGCAAAGCAAAUUUCCCAAACAA